rnacentral:rRNA from 1 species
GAUGAACGCUAGCGGCAGGCUUAACACAUGCAAGUCGAAGGGCAUCGAGGGAAGUGCUUGCACUUUCUGUCGGCGACUGGCGCACGGGUGAGUAACACGUAUGCAACCUGCCCCCUGCAGGGGGACAACUUUCCGAAAGGAAGGCUAAUCCCGCGUAUAUUCCGGAGGGGCAUCCCACCGGGAGGAAAGAUUCAUCGGCAGGGGAUGGGCAUGCGGCGCAUUAGGCAGACGGCGGUGUAACGGACCACCGUACCGACGAUGCGUAGGGGUUCUGAGAGGAAGGUCCCCCACACUGGUACUGAGACACGGACCAGACUCCUACGGGAGGCAGCAGUGAGGAAUAUUGGUCAAUGGGCGGGAGCCUGAACCAGCCAAGCCGCGUGAGGGAAGAAGGCCCUAUGGGUCGUAAACCUCUUUUGUCAGGGAACAAAAGCCGAUAUGUAUAUUGGUGUGAGUGUACCUGAAGAAAAAGCAUCGGCUAACUCCGUG